rnacentral:lncRNA from 1 species
GAAAAUUUAUGUGAUAAAUUUGCAAAAUGCUGCAAAUAUUUUUCUCAGCAGAAGAUGUAACAAGAACAACCCUGUCUAACCAGCUAGAUUGAGAAUCUUGAAUCUCAUUAGCUGAGAAAAUAUCUAGAAUAGCCAACUUAAGUCCCUUCAAGGAAACAUCCUGGUGCCAAAACUUUUUGUGUCUGAGGGCAAAGUGCUUGGGAACUGUGAGCUUGAGAGAACACUCAGGCAUCCGUGUUCUGUUUAUUGAAUGUAUACAUGCAUUGAGAAUAGACUGCAGAGUGGAAAAUACAAUACAUUUACCCGAAAGAUAUUUGACUUCAGGACUGGUUUAAUUAAUGGAUUAUUGUCGACUGUGGAUCUAUCUCUACUUCUGUGGCUUUAAAUAACUAAUCAUACAAUGAGGAUCUGAUUCUUCUUAAUCAAAGGUAGACCUAGACAUUUUAAUUAAGUUUAUUUAAGCUGAAUCAGAGAUCUCUUUUUU